rnacentral:lncRNA from 1 species
AUCCAAGAACUCAGUGCUUUCAUAAAGCAUUUAUUUUUAUUUGAAAACAUUAUACAGGCAUUACAUUGCCACAGCCAGUUCAGAGGGGAGCAUGCAAAUAUCAAAAACGGACAGUUUGAUCAACUUAUUGGUGUAAUUUUUUUUUUUUUUGGUUCAUAUUUUUCCAUUUGCAGUGUCAGGAUUAGUGUGCUUUGUUAUGUAGCUUAACAAUAGAAUCCUACCCAUGGGGUAAAAUCUGUACUGGUAGCUAGCUGGGACUCCUAAGUGGUUACAAAUAAAAAGUAAACCAAAACAAACAAUACUACACGCUUGUCAGAGGUUAAUAGCACAAGUUAGCAAUACCUAAACUAAACAUCGAAACAGCUUCGUGGGACACGGUGGUGCGAACCGUUCCCUUGGUUGGUCUCCUGGGCGUGAGUGUGGAGUCUGGAGCCAGGGAAGGUGGGACCAGUGUGUCUGGAACUCCUGAUCAUGGACAACUCAGUACAUUUCCAGCCUUUCUGGAGACAAACCAGCAUGGCGAGGCAGCCUGGGGACGUGAAGGACUGAUUGCCAGGACGCUGGAUGACAGAGGCGCACGGAGAAUGCACCCUGAACUUCACACUCUGUUUCCAUACAGUAGUCAAUCAAAACGCCCUAGAGAAUAGCUCAGAUGGCAGCCUUUGGCCAUUGGUCAAUCGUAAACCUUUGGAAAUUGGAAUUGAAAGAAAAUUCCCAGUCCACUGAGUGGAUUUAGAAAUUGCUCCGGCCACUUGCUUCUCAUAAGACUUUACUAAGUGUCUACAAAUUAGCAUCAUAAAAAUGAAUCAAAAAGACAAAAACAUUUGGCUUAAAAUAAAUACUAAAAAUGAAAUAAAUCAAGCAAAUUAUGCAAACCAAAGGAAUGUAAACACAAAAAUAAAACCAC